rnacentral:lncRNA from 1 species
UCACCCCCUUUCUAAUAAAGAGGAUCCAUACAAGAUCCAAGCAGGCUGCCUAACCGUAUAAACGACGUAAGAAGUUAGGAACAUUUUCAAUAUAAAUUUUUCCUGUAUUUGUUCUAUGAUAAAUAUGAGUCUGUUUUGUCCACUUUCUCCAAUCCCCCUCUAUAAAAAAAAGCAAGGCGAGCUUGCUUUCUUAUUCCUGUGUUCGAUCUCUUCCAUCUCUGCC